rnacentral:rRNA from 1 species
UACGUAGGGGGCAAGCGUUGUCCGGAAUCAUUGGGCGUAAAGAGCGUGUAGGCGGCCCGAUAAGUCCGCUGUGAAAGUCCAGGGCUCAACCCUGGAAUGCCGGUGGAUACUGUCGGGCUCGAAUCCGGAAGAGGUGAGUGGAAUUCCUGGUGUAGCGGUGAAAUGCGUAGAUAUCUGGAGGAACACCGGUGGCGAAGGCGACAUCCUGGACCGGUAUUGACGCUGAGGCGCGAAAGCCAGGGGAGCAAACGGG